GAGAUGCGUCUCGUGCAGCUGUUUUUUCAAACUGAAGCGGCUCACAAUUGCAUCAAUGAACUCGUGCAUCUUGGAUUAGUUCAGUUUAAAGACCUGAAUCCUGGUGUAACAGCAUUUCAAAGGCGAUUUGUGAAGGAUGUGAAGAAAUGGAGAGAAUUCUGAGGUAUCUUCAGAAGGAGAUGGUGAAAUCUAACAUUGUAAUUGUUGCAACAAAGGAGAAGGAGAUGGUUCCCUGUGCCAGAGAUGUUCUGGAGCUUGAGUCCACAUUUGAGAAGUUGGAGCAGGAGCUGCGAGAAAUCAACCGUAACCAUGCCGCACUCAGACAGAACCUCAUUGAGCUGAUGGACAUUGACUCUCUG